AGCGAACGCUGGCGGCAGGCUUAACACAUGCAAGUCGAGCGGGCAUAGCAAUAUGUCAGCGGCAGACGGGUGAGUAACGCGUGGGAACGUACCUUUUGGUUCGGAACAACACAGGGAAACUUGUGCUAAUACCGGAUAAGCCCUUACGGGGAAAGAUUUAUCGCCGAAAGAUCGGCCCGCGCCUGAUUAGCUAGUUGGUGAGGUAAUGGCUCACCAAGGCGACGAUCAGUAGCUGGUCUGAGAGGAUGAUCAGCCACAUUGGGACUGAGACACGGCCCAAACUCCUACGGGAGGCAGCAGUGGGGAAUAUUGGACAAUGGGCGCAAGCCUGAUCCAGCCAUGCCGCGUGAGUGAUGAAGGCCCUAGGGUUGUAAAGCUCUUUUGUGCGGGAAGAUAAUGACGGUACCGCAAGAAUAAGCCCCGGCUAACUUCGUGCCAGCAGCCGCGGUAAUACGAAGGGGGCUAGCGUUGCUCGGAAUCACUGGGCGUAAAGGGUGCGUAGGCGGGUCUUUAAGUCAGGGGUGAAAUCCUGGAGCUCAACUCCAGAACUGCCUUUGAUACUGAAGAUCUUGAGUUCGGGAGAGGUGAGUGGAACUGCGAGUGUAGAGGUGAAAUUCGUAGAUAUUCGCAAGAACACCAGUGGCGAAGGCGGCUCACUGGCCCGAUACUGACGCUGAGGCACGAAAGCGUGGGGAGCAAACAGG
rnacentral:rRNA from 1 species